UACGGAGGGUGCAAGCGUUAUCCGGAUUCACUGGGUUUAAAGGGUGCGUAGGUGGCUAUAUAAGUCAGUGGUGAAAGCCCCGCGGCUCAACCGUGGAAUUGCCAUUGAAACUGCAUAGCUUGAGUACAGUUGAAGUGGGCGGAAUACAAUCAUGUAGCGGUGAAAUGCUUAGAUAUGAUGUAGAACACCGAUUGCGAAGGCAGCUCACUAAGCUGUAACUGACACUGAGGCACGAAAGCGUGGGUAGCGAACAGG
rnacentral:rRNA from 1 species